GAGCGUCAUUACUCCUCUCAAGCAUUGCUUGGUAUUGGAUUUGUCCAGAGAUGGACGUGUCCGAAAAAGAGUGGCGGGCCAAAUUGGUUUCAAGCGUAGUAAAAUUAUUGCCGCUUAGGAAAUCAAGCUGUGCUCUUGCCAAAAUCUAAUCUAUUUCUAUGAUUGACCUCGGAUCAGGUAGGGAUACCCGCUGAACUUAA
rnacentral:misc_RNA from 1 species